rnacentral:rRNA from 1 species
UACAGAGGUCCCGAGCGUUUGUUCGGAUUUAUUGGGCGUAAAGGGUGCGUAGGCGGCGGAGUAAGUUGGGUGUGAAAUCCCGGGGCUCAACCUCGGAAUGGCAUUCAAUACUGCUUCGCUCGAGUACUGGAGAGGAGGCUGGAAUUUACGGUGUAGCAGUGAAAUGCGUAGAUAUCGUAAGGAAGGCCGGUGGCGAAAGCGAGCCUCUGGACAGUUACUGACGCUGAUGCACGAAGGCCAGGGGAGCAAACGGG